CGCAAGCCUGACGGAGCAACGCCGCGUGAGGGAUGAAGGCCUCUGGGCUGUAAACCUCUUUUAUCAAGGAAGAAGAUCUGACGGUACUUGAUGAAUAAGCCACGGCUAAUUCCGUGCCAGCAGCCGCGGUAAUACGGGAGUGGCAAGCGUUAUCCGGAAUUAUUGGGCGUAAAGCGUCCGCAGGCGGUUUUACAAGUCUGUCGUUAAAGCGUGGAGCUCAACUCCAUUUCAGCGAUGGAAACUGUAAGACUCGAGUGUGGUAGGGGCAGAGGGAAUUCCCGGUGUAGCGGUGAAAUGCGUAGAUAUCGGGAAGAACACCAGUGGCGAAAGCGCUCUGCUGGGCCAUAACUGACGCUCAUGGACGAAAGCCAGGGGAGCGAAAG
rnacentral:rRNA from 1 species